rnacentral:rRNA from 1 species
AUUGAACGCUGGCGGCAGGCCUAACACAUGCAAGUCGAACGAGUGGCGGACGGGUGCGUAAUGUCUGGGAAACUGCCCGCUGGAGGGGGAUAACUACUGGAAACGGUAGCUAAUACCGCAUACCAUCGGAUGUGCCCAGCUGGGAUUAGCUAGUAGGUGGGGUAACGGAUCACCUAGUCGACGAUCCCUAGCUGGUCUGAGAGGAUGACCAGCCACACUGGAACUUGGAAACGGGCCAGAUUCCUACGUGAGGCAGCAGUGGGUAAUAUUGAACAAUGGGCGCAAGCCUGAUGCAGCCAUGCCGCGUGUAUGAAGAAGGCCUUCGGGUUGUAAAGUACUUUCAGCGAGGAGGCGUUACUCGCAGAAGAAGCACCGGCUAACUCCGUGCCAGCCGCCGCGGUAAUUC